AUUGAACGCUGGCGGCAGGCCUAACACAUGCAAGUCGAGCGGAUGAAGGGAGCUUGCUCCUGGAUUCAGCGGCGGACGGGUGAGUAAUGCCUAGGAAUCUGCCUGGUAGUGGGGGAUAACGUCCGGAAACGGGCGCUAAUACCGCAUACGUCCUGAGGGAGAAAGUGGGGGAUCUUCGGACCUCACGCUAUCAGAUGAGCCUAGGUCGGAUUAGCUAGUUGGUGGGGUAAAGGCCUACCAAGGCGGCGAUCCGUAACUGGUCUAAGAGGAUGAUCAGUCACACUGGAACUGAGACACGGUCCAGACUCCUACGGGAGGCAGCAGUGGGGAAUAUUGGACAAUGGGCGAAAGCCUGAUCCAGCCAUGCCGCGUGUGUGAAGAAGGUCUUCGGAUUGUAAAGCACUUUAAGUUGGGAGGAAGGGCAGUAAGUUAAUACCUUGCUGUUUUGACGUUACCAACAGAAUAAGCACCGGCUAACUUCGUG
rnacentral:rRNA from 1 species